GUCUUUUCCUUAGUGUAGCCCUUUUGUCUCCAAUAAUAUUAGGACACGUCUGUUCCUUUGGGACUUUUAGGGUACUGGGGUGUUUUCAAAGUUCACAGUUCUGAGAGGCAUACAGCUCAGUAAACAUUUUGCAGAUUUCUUAAAACUUGAUCAAUUAUUUUCACUAAUACAACCCCAUUUAUUGCGAUGCUGUCUAAUGUGUAAAUAACAGAAUGCAGUAUUUUGUAAAUCAUUUAAGCCCAUAUUUAACAGACAACAUAUCAAAUGUUGAAACUGAGAAAAUGUAUUAUUUUAUGACAAAUGUAUGUUCAAAUCGAAUUCAGUGCCAGGAAUACAUUUUAAGAAGGUUGGGAAAGGGGCAACAAAAGACUGAAAAAGUUGAGUAAUUCUAAAAUGAAAUACCUGGUUAAAUUUCUCACAACUUGGGUUAGUUGGCAGCAGGGUCAGUAAGAUGAUUGGGUAUAAAAAGAGCCCCCCAGAGAUGCAGAGUCUCUGUGCAUGUAGAUGAGAGGUUCACCACUCAUGGCAAAUAGAGCAGCAGUUUAAGAAUAAUGUUUCUCAAUUUAAUAUUGCAAAGAAUUUGGGUAUUUCAUCAUCUAUUGUACACAAUAUUAAAAGAUUCUGAGAAUCCAGAGAAAUCUCUUUAAGCAAGGGACAAGGCCGACACCAAGUAUUGGAUAGCCAUGAUAUUUGGGUCCUCAGGCAGCGCUACAUUAAAAACAGUAAAGUUUCUAUAGUAAAAAUCACUGCAUGUGCUCAGGAACACUUCUGAAAACCAUUGUUUGUGAACACAUCCCAAAUUCAGGAUAAAUCUCUAGCAUGCAAAGAAGAAACCAUAUCAGAACAUGAUCCAGAAAUGCCGCUGACUUCUCUAGGCCUGAGCUCGUUGGGCCUGAGCUGAAUGACAUAUAUCAGGGUUAUUCAAAUCACGGUCCUCGAGGUCUGAGCAUUGCAGGUUUUCCAGCCUUCCUUUACCUGUCAGUCAGGUGUGAAGCCUCUGACCAAUCAGAAUCAGUAAUUAUUAAACUAAGUACCUAGGAGAACUAAAAACAAGGCCUGGUUUUGGAAUUGAGGUACAGAUUAGAAGAACCCUGAUGUGUGUGUGUGUGUGUGUGUAUAUAUGUGUGUGUGUGUGUGUGUGUGUGUGUGUGUGUGUAUGUGUGUAUAUAUGUAUAUAAUAUAUAUAUAUAUAUAUAUGUAUAUUUAUAUUUUUUUUUAAUAUGGUUUUUGGAGCAACAUAUGCUGUCAUCCAGACAAUGUCUUUCUCAGAGACAGUCUUGUAUAUUUCAGCAAGACAAUGCCAAACUGCAUUCUGCGUGUAUUACAGCAACAUGGCGCCAUAGUGGCAGUAGCUUUUCUCAUUAUGCAGAGUACUUUAUGUGGAGUUAACAUCUGUUAAAAUAAAUAAGCACUAUUGAGAUGCA